UACGUAGGGGGCAAGCGUUGUCCGGAUUUAUUGGGCGUAAAGGGCGUGUAGGCGGCCAGACAGGUCCGUUGUGAAAACUCGAGGCUCAACCUCGAGAUGUCGAUGGAAACCGGCUGGCUAGAGUCCGGAAGAGGAGUGUGGAAUUCCUGGUGUAGCGGUGAAAUGCGCAGAUAUCAGGAAGAACACCUAUGGCGAAGGCAGCACUCUGGGACGGUACUGACGCUGAGACGCGAAAGCGUGGGGAGCGAACAGG
rnacentral:rRNA from 1 species